GCGCCCGUAGCUUAAUGGAUUGAGCACAUCGUUGCGGUCGAUGCGGUUGUGGGUCCGACUCCCGCCGGGCGCA
rnacentral:tRNA from 1 species